rnacentral:rRNA from 1 species
AGUGAACGCUGGCGGUAGGCCUAACACAUGCAAGUCGAACGGCGGCACAGUAAGAGCUUGCUCUUACGGGUGGCGAGUGGCGGACGGGUGAGGAAUACAUCGGAGUCUACUUUUUCGUGGGGGAUAACGUAGGGAAACUUACGCUAAUACCGCAUACGACCUACGGGUGAAAGCAGGGGAUCUUCGGACCUUGCGCGAUUGAAUGAGCCGAUGUCGGAUUAGCUAGUUGGCGGGGUAAAGGCCCACCAAGGCGACGAUCCGUAGCUGGUCUGAGAGGAUGAUCAGCCACACUGGAACUGAGACACGGUCCAGACUCCUACGGGAGGCAGCAGUGGGGAAUAUUGGACAAUGGGCGCAAGCCUGAUCCAGCCAUACCGCGUGGGUGAAGGAGGCCUUCGGGUUGUAAAACCCUUUUGUUGGGAAAGAAAAGCAGCAGGUUAAUACCCCGCUGUUCUGACGGUACCCAAAGAAUAAGCACCGGCUAACUUCGUG